GCCUGCACGGUCUAUACCCUCUACGGACAUACUGUAAUCUCUGAAUAUGGUACAUACUUAAGAGAGAUAGAUCAUUGUAUGUUAGAUUAAAUCUUAUAUCUUCUAAUUAGAUUGAAAUAAUUUAUAUCCCAAAUGAUCGAAUCAUGAUCUACGGAUACCGUCCGUACCUCUCAGAGAUAAACUAUACUAAUAUCCUAAUCAU
rnacentral:lncRNA from 1 species